rnacentral:rRNA from 1 species
GAUGAACGCUGGCGGCGUGCCUAAUACAUGCAAGUCGAGCGAAUGGAUUAAGAGCUUGCUCUUAUGAAGUUAGCGGCGGACGGGUGAGUAACACGUGGGUAACCUGCCCAUAAGACUGGGAUAACUCCGGGAAACCGGGGCUAAUACCGGAUAACAUUUUGAAUCGCAUGGUUCGAAAUUGAAAGGCGGCUUCGGCUGUCACUUAUGGAUGCACCCGCGUCGCAUUAGCUAGUUGGUGAGGUAACGGCUCACCAAGGCAACGAUGCGUAGCCGACCUGAGAGGGUGAUCGGCCACACUGGGACUGAGACACGGCCCAGACUCCUACGGGAGGCAGCAGUAGGGAAUCUUCCGCAAUGGACGAAAGUCUGACGGAGCAACGCCGCGUGAGUGAUGAAGGCUUUCGGGUCGUAAAACUCUGUUGUUAGGGAAGAACAAGUGCUAGUUGAAUAAGCUGACACCUUGACGGUACCUAACCAGAAAGCCACGGCUAACUACGUGCCAGCCGCCGCAGUAA